rnacentral:rRNA from 1 species
UACGGAGGAUCCAAGCGUUAUCCGGAAUCAUUGGGUUUAAAGGGUCCGUAGGUGGAUAAUUAAGUCAGGGGUGAAAGUCUGCAGCUCAACUGUAGAAUUGCCUUUGAUACUGGUUAUCUUGAAUCAUUAUGAAGUGGUUAGAAUAUGUAGUGUAGCGGUGAAAUGCAUAGAUAUUACAUAGAAUACCAAUUGCGAAGGCAGAUCACUAAUAAUGUAUUGACACUGAUGGACGAAAGCGUGGGUAGCGAACAGG